UAGGAACAGUCACAGCACAAAAUGAAAAUAAUUCAUCUGAACUGAGCCAGGCCAAGAAACUUUGUUAGUUAGUGGUGGAUAGAGAAAGUGUGUGGAGUGACAAAUGCAGGAGAUGAAAGAAAAAAUCAUGACUUUUUAGUAACAAUUCGGGGCUGUUGGCUGAGCUAUCAAAAUCGAGACUGUCCAACGAAAAAUGGGACAUUUGGGAGGUAUGGAGAUGACUUUCCUGUAAUGAAGCUCUCUGGAUAAUACACAGUAACAUACAGGUCCAGAAAUGCAAGAAAAUAGACCAUUCCGAAGAAUCGCUGUGAAGCAGAGCCCUUAAAAAAAUCUGAACCUUCCGUUAACACCCUCAUUUUUCCUGCAUGGACCGGCUCAUUAAUACUUCUUAAGUGAAUGUACUUUUUGGCUGUUUGGAGUGUUUGAUAUUUUCCACUCUGCGUGUCAAGGGCAUUUACAAUUGGCGUCAGAAUGUUCAGUCAGUCUGAGGGAGGCACUUUGAAGUGCUUGUGGUAUUGCCACAUGUGCAGGCAAGAUGUUCUCUCCUUUCCCUCAGCUUCUAUUUAGCUGGGAUUCUCUGCACCAUGUGACAAUCAACAACAUGACUUAACCAUUUACUCCACUCAGUUCGUGCCCCAUAGGCAAUUGCUCCCAUUUACGUCUUCCGAGAUUCUCUCAGGAACAGCAGCGAGAGAUCCAUCUUUCCCUUUAGCGGUUAACAUAUUAACUCUUUUCCUUGUAAGGAAGAAACACAAUUAAAUUCCCUUUUGAGAAUAUCAUUCUUGUGAGGUCACAGGUCUAGAGAUUUCCAGUGGAAACAAUUUCAGUGUUUCACACCCACUAUGGUACAUUCAACUAAAAAAUCCACUGGGUUAUGGAGACACUGCUCCACUGGGAGUAACAUGAGAAAUCUGUCUUCAGCAUGUCCCAGUUCCGACUCAAAUUCGGCCCUUCCUUCUGUUUUUAUUUAUGGCUUUCAUAGGCAUAUCACCUUACACAUUCCUUGCACAACAUCAUUUAUCUUGUAUAUAACACAUCUCAUGACUUUUUACAUUUGUAUGUUCCACUCUCAGCUUCACAAUGAAGACUGGUUGGAAUUUUUCACGGUCGCAAAAUGAGCGAGUGGCCAGUAGUGAUAGCAUCUCAUUGUCCAAGUGGUAAUUGAAUGAGUUUAUUUGUGAUCGAUAAAAAUACCUUUCAAAUACAUAAUGGCAUUACCCUGUUGUAAAAUAUAAUGUACACCCUCUGGUAAAAUAUAAGGAUAUUCUAAGUUACCAAAGAGUUCCAUCCAGAAAAAUGCCAGCAGCACACCGAGUCUGGUUGUAGUU